rnacentral:rRNA from 2 species
AGUCGAGCGCGAAAGCGGCUUCGGCCGUUAGUAGAGCGGCGGACGGGUGAGGAACACGUGGGUAACCUGUCCUCGGGUGGGGAACAACCCAGGAAACCUGGGCUAAUUCCGCAUAAUAUCCUUAGCUCACAAGAGUUUUGGAUCAAAGCUGGGGACCCUUCGGGGCCUGGCGCCAGAGGAGGGGCCCGCGGCCGAUUAGCUUGUUGGUGAGGUAACGGCUCACCAAGGCUCCGAUCGGUAGCCGGCCUAAGAGGGCGUACGGCCACACUGGGACUGAGAUACGGCCAGACUCCUACGGGAGGCAGCAGUGGGGAAUUUUUGUCAAUGGGGGAAACCCUGAACAAGCAACGCCGCGUGGAGGACGAAGACCUUCGGGUCGUAAACUCCUGUCGGAGGGGACGAAACCGAUUAUGGUUAAUACCCGUAGUCAUUGACGGUACCCUUAGAGGAAGCCCCGGCUAACUCCGUGCCAGCAGCGCGGUAAUACGGGGGGGGCAAGCGUUGUUCGGAAUUAUUGGGCGUAAAGGGCGUGUAGGCGGCCUGCAAGUCUUUCGUGAAAUCCCACAGCUCAACUGUGGAACUGC